UGUCUAUGCAUGGAGUCCUGGAUUAGA
rnacentral:misc_RNA from 1 species